UACAGAGGGUGCGAGCGUUGUCCGGAAUUACUGGGCGUAAAGCGCACGUAGGCGGCUUUGUAAGUUAGAGGUGAAAGCCCAGGGCUCAACCCUGGAAUUGCCUUUAAGACUGCAUCGCUUGAACAUCGGAGAGGUAAGUGGAAUUCCGAGUGUAGAGGUGAAAUUCGUAGAUAUUCGGAAGAACACCAGUGGCGAAGGCGACUUACUGGACGAUUGUUGACGCUGAGGUGCGAAAGCGUGGGGAGCAAACAGG
rnacentral:rRNA from 1 species